UACGUAGGGUGCAAGCGUUGUCCGGAAUUAUUGGGCGUAAAGAGCUCGUAGGCGGCUUGUCGCGUCUGCCGUGAAAGUCCGGGGCUCAACUCCGGAUCUGCGGUGGGUACGGGCAGACUAGAGUGAUGUAGGGGAGACUGGAAUUCCUGGUGUAGCGGUGAAAUGCGCAGAUAUCAGGAGGAACACCAAUAGCGAAAGCACUCUGCUGGGCCGAAACUGACAUUGAGAGACGAAAGCUAGGGGAGCGAAAGGG
rnacentral:rRNA from 1 species